UACGAAGGGGGCUAGCGUUGCUCGGAAUCACUGGGCGUAAAGGGUGCGUAGGCGGGUCUUUAAGUCAUGGGUGAAAUCCUGGAGCUCAACUCCAGAACUGCCUUUGAUACUGAGGAUCUUGAGUUCGGGAGAGGUGAGUGGAACUGCGAGUGUAGAGGUGAAAUUCGUAGAUAUUCGCAAGAACACCAGUGGCGAAGGCGGCUCACUGGCCCGGUACUGACGCUGAGGUGCGAAAGCGUGGGGAGCAAACAGG
rnacentral:rRNA from 1 species